rnacentral:tRNA from 1 species
GAAGAAGUGGCCGAAGUGGAGGCGGUAGAUUGUAAAUCUAUUUAUGAUUAUAAAAUCCUUCUUUA